UACGAAGGGGGCUAGCGUUGUUCGGAAUUACUGGGCGUAAAGCGCGCGCAGGCGGUCUUCCAAGUCAGUGGUGAAAGCCCGGAGCUCAACUCCGGAAUUGCCAUUGAAACUGUGAGACUUGAGGAUGAGAGAGGUGAGUGGAAUUCCCAGUGUAGAGGUGAAAUUCGUAGAUAUUGGGAAGAACACCGGUGGCGAAGGCGGCUCACUGGCUCAUUUCUGACGCUCAGGCGCGACAGCGUGGGGAUCAAACAGG
rnacentral:rRNA from 1 species